GGAGAGAUGGUUCAACAUGUCAGAACACUAGCUGUCCUUGCAGAAGACCUGGGUUCAAUUCCCAGCCUCUACA
rnacentral:tRNA from 1 species